AGGAACAACUGCAGUGGCGGGGCCAGCUCUGGAGCCCUGGAGUCAGCUCCUGCAGUAACUUAGAGCUCUCUGUCUGCAGGGCCUGGAGGCUCCGGGGCGGG
rnacentral:pre_miRNA from 1 species